AUUCCUGCUUGUGGCCCGCGCAGGGGCGGGGUCGGAAGGUCUAGGCCGGGCGCGGAGCGAGGAAGCGGGUGGCGCUGGGACGCAUGCUCUGGGGGAGAUGAGUAUAAUGACCCGCGUUUGUCCGCCGCCCGUGCCCCGCUCAAUCCCCGCAUCAAUCCCGUGAGGCCGUUUCUCCCGUUGGCUCCACUGUACCGGGGGCUGAGGCCCAGGGAGGUCUCGCGGCUCCCUAGGUUAUCCAGCUAGUAAGAGGCGAAGCUGGAAUUCUCACUGUGGGCCCAUUCCAUGGCUUUUGCCAGAGCGCCAGGGACACACUCAGUUCACCUUCUAGCAGGGAAGACCCAAAGAUGCGCGCCCCUGGCAGCCAGGGCGUCGGACCAGGCAAUUCCUACUGUCCAGCAUCACCUCCUCCAGGCCUCUCGGAUGCCUCUGUUGGGACAGCUAAGUUCCUCUUCAAAGACUCAAUUUCCUGGUCAUAAGCUGUAAACAGAUUCUACUCCCGCUUUUUCUUCUUUGUCGCACGUCUACCCUAUUUGGGAAAGUUUAAACCUUAGCCAAUCGGGAUCAGCUCAGAUUGUGCGGUCCAACCCCCCAGCCAAUGGGGAAAGGACACAGAAACAGGAACUGCGUUAGGGUUAAAAACCACUUCCCUCCUUUGUUGGCGGGUGCUCUUGGGAUUGCAACCAGCGCAAGCAGCACCCUUCUGCAGAAGUAAAGAUGCCUUGCUGGGAAGUCUUCUGUCUCAGUGCUGGUUUUUCUUGACUACACUGAGCACUUGUUUUCAACAAAUUUGAGGGUCUUCUGGGAUCCCAUUCUCCUUUGGGAGGGGUAGCGAUUACUUUUCCUCGUGAGACACGUCCCACUGCCUUGUUGCAGUGGCCCAAGGAGCGGAGGAUCGGGUCCACCCAAAGUGAGGAAUAAAUCCGGACUUUCAGCAACGUGGGCAGGAAGGAGCCUUAAAAUUCCCAGGCAAGUGGGUAACUCUGUGCACAGACCAAGCUCUUGCUCCUGGAUAAUCAAGAAGAACAACGAAGCCAAAUCCUGUUAAAAUUUUUUGCAGAGGAAGAAGUAUCAAAUAGAAGAGAGGAAAUUGUUGGGACAGCUAAGCUCUUCAAAGACUCAACUUCCUGGUCAUAAACUUCUCCCCGUUUUUCUUCUUUUUCGCCAGUCUACCCUGUUUGGGAAAGUUUAAACCUUAGCCAGUCGGGAUCAGCUCAGAUUGUGCAGUCCAUCCCCAGUCAAUGGGGAAAGGACACAGAAACAGGAACUGCGUUAGGGUUAAAAAGCCCUUCUCUCCUUUGUUUGGGGUGCUCUUGCGAUUACAAGCUGCGCAAGUAGCACCGUUCUGAAGUAAAGAUGCCUUGCUGGGAAAUCUGUCUCAGUGCUGGUUUUUCUUGACUACACUGAGCACUUGUUUCCAACACCCCUGUGCUCCAGGCUGGGUUAGGUCUGAUCUCAGGGAAUGUCUGUUUCAACACGUGUCUGCAGUUCUUUGGCUUGUGUUGCUCACUGCAGUGGGCCCAGCCUGGUCUAGAGGAGGCGCUCAGGAAGUAUCUGUGAAAUGUGAAUGUGUAGUUCCUUCAGUGAAUAUGGCCCUGGGGCUGAAGAUGGCAGAAGCAUUCUGGGAGCUUCUGGAGAAGGAGACCUGGGAGGAGAAGGUUGGAAUGGCGGGGGCAGCAGAGGGGCUGGGUGAACUCAGCUGUCCCACCCAGGCCCAUCCUCUGCAGCCCGAGAAGGAAGCUCACAGGGCAAGACAUGGAAGAGAUCAAGUUCCCUGCCCGGUGCCUGGGCUGUUGAUGGCCUCAGGAAAAUGGAACCAUUACCUGUUGCUGUCAAGUGGCUGGGGGCCAGGAUGCCUGGGUUGGCCGUGAGAGGACAUUGCUGAGGAGAGUGGAGGCCAGGCUGGGGUGGGGUGUGGCAGGAGGACAGGAAUGCAGUGGAACCAGUGGGUCAGGCUCCUGAGGGCCCCAGGCUCCAGCCUCAGGGCUGGCCUGUUCCCUCCUAAGCUGCCAUCUUCAUAUCUUCAGGACCCACCCCUCUACUCCUCACCCUCAGCACAACGAUGUGAUCGAAAGGCAAAUAUUUAUUUUUCAGGAAGAGAAACAGGAGACCUCGAGGCUUCUGGACUUAGGAGGUCCGGGCAGCUGGUCCAUGGUUGUCCAGGUAGUGCCGCAGGGCUGUGGGAUAAUCCGUUAUGACGCCAGUGGCUCCCACGCUGAAGGCUGCUUCAAAAUCCGACUCUUCAUUAAGGCACCAAAAGACCACCUGAGCAGGGAGGGAGGGGGCCUGUAGAUUCUGAACAAUUUUACAUCUGGAGAGUGGGGACCCACCUCCUCCUCUAUGGAGACUCCCCAGCAGCAGUAGGCUGGAGCUGAUUGUUAAAUUCUCAGGAAUUUUGCAAAGUGGUUAUUAAACCCAGCCAUUAUUAAAAAUUAAAUCAUAGCCUGGGUGCAGUGGCUCACGCCUGUAAUAUCAACACUUUGGGACGCCGAGGCAGGAGUUGAGGCCAGGUGUUUAAGAUCGAGUGAGACCUCAUCUCUACAAAAAACUUUGUAAAAAUUAAUUAGCCCGGUGUGGUGGUAUGCGCCUGUGCUCCCAGCUACUUGGAAGACUGAGGUGAAAGAAUUGCUUGAGCCCAGGACUCUAAGGCUGCAGUGAGCUAUGGUUGCACCACUGUACUCCAGCCUGGGCGAUACAACAAGACCUCGUCUCAAAAAAAAAAAAAAAAUUAUAUAUACUGACAAUUAAAUUAUUUAUUUAUUUAUUUAUUUAUUUUUUGAGAUGGAGUCUUGGUUUGUCACCCGGGCUGGAGUACAGUGGCAUGAACUCGGCUCACUGCAAGCUCUGCCUCCCGGGUUCACACCAUUCUCCUGUCUCAGCCUCCUGAGUAGCUGGGACUACAGAUGUCCGCCACCACGCCCAGCUAAUUUUUCUGUUUUUAGUAGAGAUGGGGUUUCACCAUGUUAGCCAGGAUGGUCUCGAUCUCCUAACCUCGUGAUCCACCCGCCUCGGCCUC
rnacentral:lncRNA from 10 species